rnacentral:rRNA from 2 species
AACUAUACAUGCAAGUCGAACGAACUUGGUAUUGAUUGGUGCUUGCAUCAUGAUUUACAUUUGAGUGAGUGGCGAACUGGUGAGUAACACGUGGGAACCUGCCCAGAAGCGGGGGAUAACCCUGGAAACAGAUGCUAAUACCGCAUAACAACUUGGACCGCAUGGUCCGAGUUUGAAAGAUGGCUUCGGCUAUCACUUUUGGAUGGUCCCGCGGCGUAUUAGCUAGAUGGUGGGGUAACGGCUCACCAUGGCAAUGAUACGUAGCCGACCUGAGAGGGUAAUCGGCCACAUUGGGACUGAGACACGGCCCAAACUCCUACGGGAGGCAGCAGUAGGGAAUCUUCCACAAUGGACGAAAGUCUGAUGGAGCAACGCCGCGUGAGUGAAGAGGGUUUCGGCUCACAAAACUCUGUUG